GUAGGUGGCAAGCGUUGUCCGGAAUUAUUGGGCGUAAAGCGCGCGCAGGUGGUUCUUUAAGUCUGAUGUGAAAGCCCCCGGCUCAACCGGGGAGGGUCAUUGGAAACUGGGGAACUUGAGUGCAGGAGAGGAAAGUGGAAUUCCACGUGUAGCGGUGAAAUGCGUAGAUAUGUGGAGGAACACCAGUGGCGAAGGCGACUUCCUGGCCUGUAACUGACACUGAGGCGCGAAAGCGUGGGGAGCAAACAGGGAUUAGAUACCCUGGUAGUCCACGCCGUAAACGAUGAGUGCUAAGUGUUGGGGGGGUUUCCCGCCCCUCAGUGCUGCAGCUAACGCAUUAAGCACUCCGCCUGGGGAUACGGUCGCAAGACUG
rnacentral:rRNA from 1 species